AGAGUUUGAUCAUGGCUCAGAUUGAACGCUGGCGGCAUGCUUUACACAUGCAAGUCGAACGGCAGCACAGGGAGCUUGCUCCCGGGUGGCGAGUGGCGCACGGGUGAGUAAUACAUCGGAACGUGUCCUGUUGUGGGGGAUAACUGCUCGAAAGGGUGGCUAAUACCGCAUGAGACCUGAGGGUGAAAGCGGGGGAUCGCAAGACCUCGCGCAAUUGGAGCGGCCGAUGCCCGAUUAGCUAGUUGGUGAGGUAAAGGCUCACCAAGGCGACGAUCGGUAGCUGGUCUGAGAGGACGACCAGCCUUACACUGGGACUGAGACACGGCCCAGACGCCUACGGGAGACA
rnacentral:rRNA from 1 species